CCUACGGGGGGCAGCAGUGGGGGAUAUUGCACAAUGGGGGGAACCCUGAUGCAGCGACGCCGCGUGGGUGAAGAAGCGCCUCGGCGCGUAAAGCCCUGUCAGCAGGGAAGAAAAUGACGGUACCUGAAGAAGAAGCCCCGGCUAACUACGUGCCAGCAGCCGCGGUCAUACGUAGGAUCCGAGCAUUAUCCGGAGUGACUGGGUGUAAAGAGUUGCGUAGGUGGCAUAGUAAGUAGCUAGUGAAAUCUGGUGGCUCAACCAUUCAGACUAUUAGCUAAACUGCUAAGCUCGAGACCGUUAGGGGUAACUGGAAUUUCUAGUGUAGGAGUGAAAUCCGUAGAUAUUAGAAGGAACACCGAUAGCGUAGGCAGGUUACUGGGACGGUUCUGACACUAAGGCACGAAAGCGUAGGGAGCAAACGGGAUUAGAUACCCCUGUAGUC
rnacentral:rRNA from 1 species